rnacentral:rRNA from 1 species
GACGAACGCUGGCGGCGUGCUUAACACAUGCAAGUCGAACGGAAAGGCCCUGCUUUUGUGGGGUGCUCGAGUGGCGAACGGGUGAGUAACACGUGAGUAACCUGCCCUUGACUUUGGGAUAACUUCAGGAAACUGGGGCUAAUACCGGAUAGGAGCUCCUGCUGCAUGGUGGGGGUUGGAAAGUUUCGGCGGUUGGGGAUGGACUCGCGGCUUAUCAGCUUGUUGGUGGGGUAGUGGCUUACCAAGGCUUUGACGGGUAGCCGGCCUGAGAGGGUGACCGGCCACAUUGGGACUGAGAUACGGCCCAGACUCCUACGGGAGGCAGCAGUGGGGAAUAUUGCACAAUGGGCGGAAGCCUGAUGCAGCAACGCCGCGUGCGGGAUGACGGCCUUCGGGUUGUAAACCGCUUUCGCCUGUGACGAGGCGUGAGUGACGGUAAUGGGUAAAGAAGCACCGGCUAACUACGUGCCAGCAGCCGCGGUGAUACGUAGGGUGCGAGCGUUGUCCGGAUUUAUUGGGCGUAAAGGGCUCGUAGGUGGUUGAUCGCGUCGGAAGUGUAAUCUUGGGGCUUAACCCUGAGCGUGCUUUCGAUACGGGUUGACUUGAGGAAGGUAGGGGAGAAUGGAAUUCCUGGUGGAGCGGUGGAAUGCGCAGAUAUCAGGAGGAACACCAGUGGCGAAGGCGGUUCUCUGGGCCUCUCCUGACGCUGAGGAGCGAAAGCGUGGGGAGCGAACAGGCUUAGAUACCCUGGUAGUCCACGCUGUAAACGGUGGGUACUAGGUGUGGGGUCCAUUCCACGGGUUCCGUGCCGUAGCUAACGCUUUAAGUACCCCGCCUGGGGAGUACGGCCGCAAGGCUAAAACUCAAAGGAAUUGACGGGGCCCCGCACAAGCGGCGGAGCAUGCGGAUUAAUUCGAUGCAACGCGUAGAACCUUACCUGGGUUUGACAUGGAUCGGGAGUGCUCAGAGAUGGGUGUGCCUCUUUUGGGGUCGGUUCACAGGUGGUGCAUGGCUGUCGUCAGCUCGUGUCGUGAGAUGUUGGGUUAAGUCCCGCAACGAGCGCAACCCUUGUUCACUGUUGCCAGCACGUUAUGGUGGGGACUCAGUGGAGACCGCCGGGGUCAACUCGGAGGAAGGUGGGGAUGACGUCAAGUCAUCAUGCCCCUUAUGUCCAGGGCUUCACGCAUGCUACAAUGGCUGGUACAGAGAGUGGCGAGCCUGUGAGGGUGAGCGAAUCUCGGAAAGCCGGUCUCAGUUCGGAUUGGGGUCUGCAACUCGACCUCAUGAAGUCGGAGUCGCUAGUAAUCGCAGAUCAGCAACGCUGCGGUGAAUACGUUCCCGGGGCU